AACUCUUGGCGACAGAUAUCUUGACUUGCAUCGAUGAAGAACGCAGCAAAAUGCGAUGCUUGGUGUAAAUUAUAGAAUACUGUGAACCAUCGAGUCUUUGAAUGCAAGUUGUGCCCUAAGCCAUUAGGCCAAGGGCAUGUAUGCCUAGGUAUGA